CUGCCCCUUUCGCUCUCUCUCUCUCUCUCUCAAAAUUAAACAUUAAAAUUUUUUUCAAAGAAUGUAAUCAGUGGGGUACGCACCCCAAAAGAGUUGGAGGCAGGGUCUUGAACCGUCCGUUGAUGGGUGGAUGGAUAAACACAACGCAGGCUGUACAUAACGGGAUAUGCGUGAUUCGGCCUUAAAAAGGAAAGGCGUUCUCACACCAGCUACAAUAUGUUGGCACCUUGGAGGCGUUAUGCUGAGGGCAAUGAGCCAGACCCCCGAGGACAGAUACUGUGUGACUGUGCUAACAGCAGGUGCGUAGAGCGGUCAAGGUCACAGAGACGGGAAGCAGAAUGGUGGACUCCAGGGCCUGGGGGAGAGGGGGAGGUGGUGGUCGGUGGGGACAGAGUUUGAGUCGGCGAAGAUGAAGAACUUGUUGAGACGGACGGUGGUGACGACUGGCGACGCGUGAAGGUAACUCAGCGCCACCGAGCCGUGCAUUGAAAGCCGGCAGGGCGGUGGGUUUUAUGUCAUGUAUGUUUUACGACAAUAAAAAAAAACCUAGAUGCACGUAAGGAUGGACGGCACGAAGCCGGCUCUGCCCCGUCUCCCGACGGGGGUGAACCCCGGGCCGGGGGUGCUGCGGCCGAGCCCAGAGCGCAGAGGGGGCUCUGGAGGGAGGUUCUGAAGGGCGGAGAGUGGCCCACAGACCUGGGAGGCGGCACUAAGGUCAGAGCCAGCGGGCCCGGGGCCGACGUGUCGAAACCGGCUCGGUGGAGGGCAGGCGUGCGGGCUGGAAAGAAGCUUCUCUCGCCCCGCAGCACCCGGCCUGGCCUUCGUGUGAACUUGGAGCAGCAGGACCUCUGUCAGGUCCUGGGGACGGGAGACUUCAGACGGGCGCCUUGGCCUGAGGACUGGCGGGCUUUCUUCUGGGUAGUUGGAACCGCGGGCCCGCCUGCCAGGCAGGGCCUGCUGCCCACAGGACAUGCAAACUCAGAGGCAGAUGCCUGAACACCACCGGCCGGGUGGCAGUGAGAGCCUCCAAGAAGGCAGGGUCGGCGGGAGGGGGGGGGGCGCCCCUGUGGGAAUAGCAGCCCUACUGACCUGUCCUCAGGGCCUGUGGGGGCAGAAUUCAUGCUUCCUGAAUGUGCCAGAACCCUGGGCAGCUGUGUGGUCAGGUGUUUGGUUUUGAACGUCCGCUUUGGGACGGGAAGGCAUGUUGUUAACACUCUUACCAGCAGGGACACGGUUCCCAGAAAAGCUGCCUUCUGACACCUGGACUUCAGGGCCAGCCCCGGCCGGUCUGCUGGGGCCACUCCGUCUGCCCAGUCUUGGGUCUGGGCUCUACCCUCCCCACCCCAGGCCCGUCCUCCCCGGCAGCCAGCUGCCGAUUGGGGCCUUUUCUGGAGGUAUCUGGAGCCUGGCGUGUUUGCAUGGUGGUCCCGGAACGCCUUAGGAACAUUUUGGGGGGCUCAGAAAAGAAUGCACCCCAGCUGGCAGGUGAAUGUAGGAGGCAUUAAUCCAGAAUAAUUUUUCCUGCUGAGACAGUUUUGUUAGAAAUCUGUGGAGACGUGGGAGUUCUUCAGUACUUGUGAUAUUAACCCUGGCAUCUGUGUGGAGAGUGGGGUGGGGGUGAGGGCUCCACGCUAGAGAGAAGAGGAAUUUGCCCCUAAAAGGUUGUCUUGAAUUCCCUGCGAUCUGUGCAUGUACUCUGUGUCUUUGUGCCCUUUUUUUUUUUUUUAAUAUUUAUCUUGAGAGGGAGAGAGAGAGAGAGAGAGAGAGUGAGCAAGGGGAGGGGCAGAGAGAGACGGGGUGCAAGAGAGAAUCCCAAGCAGGCUCCGCGCGGUCAGCACAGAGCCCGACGCGGGGCUCGAACUCACGAGUCGUGAGAUCAUGAUCUGAGCCGAAACCAGGAGUCCAACCCUUUAACCUCGACUGAGCCACUCAGGUGCCUCUUUGUGCUGUUGAUGGAGAACCGGCAACCUAUCUCUGGCUCUUUAGCAACUAUGAGAUUCCUCCUCACCCCCAGAACCCAGGGCCUGGGGCAGAAAAGGAGGCGGCCCAAAGACAGAGAGGAGUGGGUGGAAGGGAAGGAAAAAGAAGGCGAUGAAUGGUGAGCAGACACGCCCUGGUGUUCAGAUCGAAGUGUGCUAGGCUGGGGCUGUGGGAAACCGGGAAUCUUCUAGGCCAGCGGUCCCCAAAGCGUGCUCUCAGGAUGUCUGGGCAUCACACGGGAACUUGUGGGCGAUGCACGUUACUGGGCCCCGCCUCACACCCCCGAGUCACGGCCAGCUGGCAUUUCAACAAGAUCCCCCACGGUUCACACGCACCUUGAAGUUUGGAAAGCGCGAACCGGGCCACGCAUCCUGGCCCAGAGGGUGAAGUGGGUGUCUGUGGCCCCAGAGGGUUAACUGCCUGGGGGGGGGGGGGGGACUCCCUGCCCACUGUGUAGGUGAGAGGGGCAGCCACACCUAACUCUUGGGACUGAGGGUUUGUGCCUGGGCGAGUCCAUUUGUGUUUUGUGUCUCGGGGACUGAAGUUUUGCGCGAGCUGUUAUCACGGAGGGCGGGUAGAGCUGUGAGGUCGGAUGGCGGCCCAAGAGUUAACACCCAGAGCUGAGGGCCCCAAAUGCUGCGGGCCCAGCUCAUAUCGCCAGGUUGCUCUCUGAUCAGGGAUAUUUCAAAGCAAGCUGUUUCUUUGUAAACUUU